UACGGGGGGAGCAAGCGUUGUUCGGAUUUACUGGGCGUAAAGGGCGCGUAGGCGGCCAGCACAAGUCAGUUGUGAAAUCUCCGAGCUUAACUCGGAAAGGUCAACUGAUACUGUGCGGCUAGAGUGCGGAAGGGGCAACUGGAAUUCUUGGUGUAGCGGUGAAAUGCGUAGAUAUCAAGAGGAACACCUGCGGCGAAGGCAGCUCGCUGGGACGGUACUGACGCUAAGGCGCGAAAGCGUGGGGAGCGAACAGG
rnacentral:rRNA from 1 species